GCUGCGAUGUCCGAGUGGUUAAGGAGAUUGACUCGAAAUCAAUUAGACUAUGCCCUCAUAGAUUCGAAUCCUGCUCGCUGCG
rnacentral:tRNA from 1 species